rnacentral:rRNA from 1 species
GGGCCCGCACAAGCGGUGGAGCAUGUGGUUUAAUUCGAUGAUACGCGAGGAACCUUACCAGGGCUUAAAUGUAAGUUGCAUGAUUCAGAAAUGAAUCUUUCUUCGGACUACUUACAAGGUGCUGCAUGGUUGUCGUCAGCUCGUGCCGUGAGGUGUCAGGUUAAGUCCUAUAACGAGCGCAACCCUUGUCCUUAGUUGCCAGCACAUUAUGGUGGGAACUCUAAGGAGACUGCCGGUGCAAACCGUGAGGAAGGUGGGGAUGACGUCAAAUCAUCACGGCCCUUACGUCCUGGGCUACACACGUGCUACAAUGGUCGGUACAGAGAGCAGCCACUACGCGAGUAGGAGCGAAUCUUCAAAGCCGAUCACAGUUCGGAUCGGAGUCUGCAACUCGACUCCGUGAAGCUGGAAUC